rnacentral:lncRNA from 1 species
ACUUCUGCAUAAUAUAACACAUUAUUUAUAUUACCAAGGGCAUUGGAGAUCUUUCUGCCUUUUUUCUUUUUCUCUCUCUCUCUCUCUUUUUUUUUUCUUUUUUUAAAUAAGACUAUCCUGAUAUCCUUGUCUCAGACUUGGAUAAAAUAAUGCUUUAUUUAGUUAUGAAAUUAAAUACUCUAAAGCUCUUGAGAUGACAGCCAUUAGAGCCCAGCAUGACUAAAUACUAUUCACCUAACAUAACAUUAUCCAUCAAGAAUCCAACACACACACGCACAAAUGGCCCACACCCAGUGCACCCAGCCAAUACCUAAUCUGUUGAAAAUUAAGCUAGUAAUGUAUGUUAAAACAUUUGUGGGAAGUUUGGAUCCCAAGAUAUUUUGCUACAGUCUAUGAGCCCUUCAAUUAAUUCAUUACUCAUUUUCCCCACUUGCUUAUUCAUAACCAGAGGCUAUUGUCUUGUGUUUCUGACAUCACAGUCCGUUGCCUUAGGAACAGUGAUGAUGUCACAAGGGUAGAAUUAGCACCUAUUAAUAUGAAGAGGCACAGAGAAGAGAUGAAUAAUGGGCUUGGGGACUGAAUUAGACACAAAUUACUAGGAAUUUUUUGGACAGGAAAAAUACUUGAAAGGUGAUGCAUAACGCCAAGCCGUACAGUCUGGAGGGUGAAAGCCAAGUCUGAAGGAAGCUGUCAGCAUGGAGGGAUGUGCUGCGACUGUUGGCUCCAUGUUUGUCCCCACGGACCUCAGACAGGCGGCAGGACAACAUGAUUGCCAUUUGUGAGAAGAGCAGACAUCUCUCUGUUUCCUUGCUGGAACUGUCCAUCACAUGGAAUAACAACCCCAGAACUUCCCAGUUACAAGGACAUUUGAGAAGGAAUGACCAAAGUUGUUGGUUAUUCACUGGAGAGAUGCUCAUCUUUAAAGUGUUCUUCAGACUGAAGAGUUCUCUGUCACUUAUUCCAGGGUCUUCUCACUUUGAAUAAAGCAUUGUGUCUGCUUAAAAAUUGUCCUGAAUUUUUGAUUCAAUACCAUGAUAAGGUUUUUGUAUUUUGUUUGGUAUGCGAUUCUUUUGUGGAGAGGAGAGGAGAGGAGAGGAGAGGAGAGGAGAGGAGAGGAGAGGAGAGGAGAGGAGAGGAGAGGGAAGCGAGGGGAGGGGAGGGGAAGAAACCCAAAACACCUGUAGAUGCAAUUGAAUACCAACAAGUGAAGCAGAAUCAAAGUCAGGUAUCUUUGCUGACACACCACAGUCAGAUUUACACACGGUACUGUAAAUCACAUUGGAAAAAGGCCAAAUAUCCUGUGCUAUGAUCCCCUGUUAGAACUCUAUCUUCUGACUUUAGAGAUAGUCCAGUGCUAUACCUUCAUCAUUCUAUCAGCUCCUGGCUUCCAAAGUAUUUCACAGUCACAGUCAUCUAAGGUGCCCACCACCCCCACACACACAUUCCUGCACGGUGGUAAUGGUCUCUCAAAUGAUGAAAACAAAGAAGUAGUCUGACAUAAAACUUUAUGCCUGCUGAGGCUCCAAGCUAUGUAGCAGUAAUAUUUACAAGGCCUCUGUCGGCUGGGCUGCCUCGCUCUGUUAGGCACCACACUGAUGUGCACUUUAUGCAGCUGGAUGCAUGACAUUACCACGCAGGCCAGGUCCCUGAUUUAUAGUGUCUGGUAACAUCUCCCUAGUGCUGGAAUAGAAAUGUCUGUUAAUUUUGGAUGGUAAAGGAGCAUUGGUUUUGCUCUGAC